CUCUAUGCAAAUGCGCAUUUUCACCACACAAUCUUAAAUGUGUAAAUUUAGGAAAAAACUAGUAACUAAAUGUCAUGUGUGAAAAGAAAGAAAACAAAAAACUAUUUAGUCUAUUCUAAAUUCAGCAGUAUUCAUAGGAACAUUUUUGGCUUACGUCUACAUUAUCCAUAGAGGGAAUAGAAGAUAUUUUGAGUUUAGUUUACAUUUAGGAAGUUGUUGUAUGAUAUGAUUCUAUGAAUAUAAAUAGGGUCAGGGCAAACAGAUUUCAGGUGACCUGUUCGUUGUACAGUACUGUAAAACAAACAUGGUCCUCAUCGGUAGGAGAUGAGCAAGGACUGUGCACAUACGAUAUAUGGAAUUUACUGCUUAAGACGGGUUCUGUUGGAAAAAAACAAGAGCUGGAUUCUGCUUUGAAAUGCUUUUUUUGAACUAGCAGCCCAACAGGACAUGGACAAUGUUGAACCUGAUGGACUUUAUGCAACCUAAAGAGUCAAUGACUAUAUUACUUUGUCAUCAUAUUCCUAGAUAACUGACAGAAUUCUUUGAAAAUUCCUCUGAUGUCACCUGGUUGACCUAUUUAAUCAGGGCUAUCGAACAAGCUUCUAA